rnacentral:lncRNA from 1 species
GGGGCAGUUCGAGCUUGCCCUAGAAUCAUCCCCUUUUCUCCAAACCAGUGAUUUAACUCCUCAAAUUAUUGCCUUUUUCCUUCCAAAAUCUUUUCCUCUCUGCCUCACAUUUAGUCUCCUAAGCUUUUUUCAAGUCUCUCUUGACCUAAUGGCUCCCAAAAUGAAGCUAUCGCAAAGAAAAAAAUCUGUUCGUGUGUUGGAAGACUGUG